UGCGGAGUGGUAGCAGGUGGUAGCUCGUCAGCCUCAUAAGCUGAAGGUCGUCGGUUCGAGUCCGACCUCCGCAA
rnacentral:tRNA from 1 species